rnacentral:rRNA from 1 species
UACGUAGGGUGCGAGCGUUGUCCGGAAUUAUUGGGCGUAAAGGGCUCGUAGGCGGUCUGUCGCGUCGGUAGUGAAAACUCAGGGCUUAACCCUGAGCCUGCUUCCGAUACGGGCAGACUAGAGGUAUGCAGGGGGAGAAUGGAAUUCCUGGUGUAGCGGUGAAAUGCGCAGAUAUCAGGAGGAACACCGGUGGCGAAGGCGGUUCUCUGGGCAUUACCUGACGCUGAGGAGCGAAAGUGUGGGGAGCGAACAGG